UACAGAGGUCCCAAGCGUUGUUCGGAUUCACUGGGCGUAAAGGGUGCGUAGGUGGCGUGGUAAGUUUGAUGUGAAAGCUCAGGGCUUAACCCUGAAAUGGCAUUGAAUACUACUGUGCUGGAGGUUUGGAGGGGGGACUGGAAUUCUUGGUGUAGCAGUGAAAUGCGUAGAUAUCAAGAGGAACACCAGUGGCGAAGGCGAGUCCCUGGACAACACCUGACACUGAGGCACGAAAGCUAGGGGAGCAACCAGG
rnacentral:rRNA from 1 species